AUGCCAUUUGGACUCUCAAAUGCACCAAGUACCUUUAUGUGCUUAAUGAAUCAAGUCCUUCGACCCUUCUUAUCUCGCUUUGUUGUGGUCUAUUUCGAUGACAUCUUGAUCUAUAGCAAGGAUGAGGAUGAACACUUUGAUCACAUUCGGAAGGUGCUAGAAGUACUAAGGGAAAAUAAGUUCUACGUCAACUUGAAGAAAUGUGUUUUCCUACAAACACAACUUCUUUUCCUAGGAUUCGUCAUAACAUGCGAUAGUAUUCAUAUUGAUGAUUCUAAGGUUGAAGCAAUCCGAGAAUGGCCAACUCCGAAGACCAUUUCUGAGAUAAGAAGUUUUCAUGGCCUUGUAACUUUGUAUAGGUGA
rnacentral:rRNA from 1 species